AUGGAAGAAGUAAUAAGUUUGUUGCUUCCACCAAUAAUUCAAGUUUGUUGCGUGGAGUACGUCAAGAUGCAUAACGGGCGAGCAGCGCCAAUUGUUUGCAGGUCAGCACUGCCAUCCAUGCCCUGGGAGAAAAGCGAGAGGGGCGAUAGCGCACACGAGCUCGCCUGCUCUCGAUGCUCAUGCCAAUGGGACAAGGGCGCGUCGGUUCGUAUGUUAAAUGCGACUGUAUAUGGGAGGAAAAGGAAUUUACAGCCUAUCCUAGCAUCAGACCGCCUGUGUGUGACUGAAGAUGUCUGCGCCUCCUUCCGACGGGUGCUCUGUUAUCCAUGGCUCCUUGGGUUCGAGCUCGAAUGCCCCUUGCUGUCGACGCUGAUUAAGACAACCAUGUUCAGAAUAUCAGUUCUGAAGAUCAUGCUGGUGGCAGCGGAUUCCGUGGACGGGAGAGCUAACGGGGCAUCGAUCGCCGACGAAGCUUACGAAAACGAAACUGAAAUUCAGUCCCCUUUUUCGUCGCAUGAGGAGAUAGACGACCACGAUCCAGAAAAUGGAAGUUCCGCCGGCGGUGAAAACUGCAGUGAGCCAGGUAGCUACAGAGAAUCGGUGACCGAGGUUGGAGCUGGAUCUAGCAGCGACGUCAAUGGUGACAACCGAGCACCGAAGCGGCCAAGGAAGCUGUUCGCACUGGUAAAAAAUGACACCUGCAGAAAGCUGUUCGCACUGAUGGCGAUUGUUAUCUUGCUGGCUAGCUACUGCUCUUGUUAUGUUCCUUUUUCAGUAAACAUCACACCGGAGAGGCAGGUGGCUGGGGUAGGAUGGUCUUGCGGGAGCUUGAAUUUUCCUCUACGGAGAACCGCACAGCAGCAGCAGCAGCAGCUGGCUGCUAAAUUAUGUGGCAACGGAGACAGAAGGUGGCUGACCAGUGCAGAAUCUCACUGUAAAGCCGCUGCUUAUUUGUGGCAUGGAGGAUAUCGUGGGCUUUUGCUCCGCAGAAAGUCGAACCAGCUGCGCAGUUCUUCCGCUGCUAAUCUGAACAAAAGUUUUUUCCUCCUUGAGCAUAGUAGUAUCUGCCUAGGCAGGGCCAGCUCGUGGUCUGCAUGGAUUGUGUACAAUACAUGCAUGGAGAGCUCUGUUGCACCAGGCACCAGCCAGCCAUCAGGGGGGAAAGCCAGCAUUGCAUGUGUUGGGGUGGUGGUGCAUGCCAGUCACGCUCUAUAUCGUAUCCACAAGCCUCCAUAUUUGAAGGUUGAGGUAUUGGUGAUUGAGCGGGAGGGAAGACCCUCCCUCCUCGGUCUUUUGCACAUCCCAUCUUCUCUCCUGCCAAUGACACAGCUGGCUAGACGGCCAUGGCAUCGGGAAGUGUGCCAACCACCCAUGGCCGCUCUUGCCACAUUUUCUUGGUACCCGCCAAGUUUUUUUGUCACCCACAACUAUAAAAAGACCUAUUGGCAACCAGAUCAAGUUCAGCCAACAUUUGAGCCGGUCCUAAGAGCAUCUCCAACAUCCAAGCAAAAUGAGGGCCGCGCCUUGGGUGCGGUGUGUAUUUGGUGCGCCUGUUUCCGCGUGCGGCACACUCGAGCGCUCGCGCCGCACUCUCUCCGCUGCGCCACCUUCGCCCCGUACGCGCCGCCGCCAGCGAACUGGCCCGAUGGACGCCCGCGCUGGUACCCCCUCACCCCUUCCUACAACCGCGACCACUCCGUCGGCGCCGCCGCCGCCGCCGCAAACCCUAGCGCGGGGAGCUUUGGCUUCGCCCCCGCCGGAGUUCCUCCGAGCACCGGCAUCGCGCGCGGCCUCUUCAUGUUGCCGCGGAUGACCUCAGUGGCGGGUGGCGUCGCGCCGGCGCCCGCCGUACCACGUGCCCCCCUCUCGAAGCUCCCAAAUGCGGCGCGGCCGAAGAAGCGCAAGGUUUCCGCGAAGAAGAAGAAGAAGGCGGAUGACUCCGGCUCCUCCAAGCAGUCGAGGAAGAAGCUUGCAGGGCGUGCGACGGGUGCGGCGGGUACCGAAGCGCCGGCGAGCUCACUCGUUGAGCCGACGGCCGACGCGCACAAUGUGUUUGUGGAAAUGCCCGAAAGUGUCAACGAUGAUGCAUACAUGUCAACUAUGGGUGUCGGCUCAAACAAUUCGCAUUGGUCUCAAACCAAUGACAUGCAUUUUGAAGACCAUGAGUUCGAGGUGAACGAGGAUGGUGAGGGCAUUGUCGACGCGUCGAAUGGAAGAGGAGGCAACUACACCAACGGCGAAGACGUCGUGCUAUGCAAAACUUGGUUGGACGUGUCGAGGGAUCCAUCCGUUGGAGGUGAUCAAAGUAGAGAUGCUUAUUGGCUCCGGAUGAAAGAACACUUUGAUCUACGCAACAUGAGUGGAAUUGACCGUUUGAUCGAUCUCUUCGCUCCCGGAGAGGGGAAGAGGACCAAGAAGGGGAAGAUCAAGAAACGAACAAUUAAUUUGGAAGAUGACGAGGAGGAGGAUGCAUCAAGUGAUGAUGGCAAGAGAAGCCCCACACCAAACUCGGUUUCAUACUCGAAGCCAAAACGACCGGAUGGCACCAAGAAAGACGCAAAAGAAAAGAAGAAGAGGAAAGGAGAUGAUGAGCUCAAAAAUGCUAUGGAAGCAAUUGUCAACGCAAGAAAAAAAGCCAACAAGGUGAGGAAGAUGGCAAGGAACCAAGAUUCCGCGGCCGAGGAGAGGAGGUUGGCGGCCGAGGAUAGGAGGGUGGCCGCCGAGGAGAGGAAAGUGGCAUUGGAGGAGAGGAAGGUGGGCAUGGAGGAGCGAUCUAAAUUAGCCAUGAUUCGUGCAAUGGGUGGCGGUGGCCUUGGCGGCAUCGGAGGCAUGGGUGGCAUGGGUGCCAUGAGUGGCUUUGGAGCUAGCAUGGGCGGCAUGGGUUCCAUGGGUGGCUUUGGAGCUACCAUGGAGACCAUGGGAGGCAUGGGUGGCUUCGGAGCACCUCCGGGCGGCAUGGCCGGCAUGGGGGGCAUGAGUUUUGCUCUCUCAUUGAAGGCAUGGGUGCACCUCCGUGCGCCGGUGUGCCACCUUCGCAUGAAGAUGCCGUUGAAGAUCUUGCCAACACCUUCCGAGCUUCACGAGAUGAGGAUGUGGCGCGCAACAAUGAAGAGGAGUAGGAAGAAUCAUCUUCGGAGGAUUCGGAUGAAUCGGAGGAAGAUGAGGACGAGGCUUGAUUGUUGUGUCUUUCGUUUGUGUCAUAAACUUGGAAUAGAAUCUGGUAGCAAAUCGAAGCAACACAACAGCCAAGAAUUAGACCUGCCGACGACAUGGACGCUCGCACAGAGCUCCAGCAGAUCAGUUAAUCCGUCGAUCGACCCGACCAGCUCUUUCUCUUCUUGCACCUCGCGCCCUCUGCAGAGGCGGCGACAGGCUCCAUCCACACGAGUCUCCGGCGGUGUUGACGACGAUGAUCUUCGCGGCUCGGCGAAGGCGGCGCCGCUGACCGAGCAGCGGAGAGAGCCUUGCAGUGCUGGCGACACCCGCUUGUCAUUGCUACAGCCGACAGAAGAGAGGAAGACGAGGGAGAGGCAAGACGAGUCUCAAGUAGGAGUAUUUGUUAGGUCCACCGAGAAAAAAAAGGAACAAAAUAUUCAUCGAGAAACAAAGGGCUCCCCAGGCUGUGCGGACAUAAAAUGUUGUGCUCCAUAUCACACGGAGACGUUGGGUCAGCUGUUCCGUUCGUUGUACAGGAAAGUAAACAGCAAGAACAGAAACUGCAGCAGCAGCCAGCAGCAGAGAAGAUGGCGUUGGCAGAGACGGACAGACAGAAAGUGUGGCACAGGUGCAGAAUCUCGCUUUGAAGCCACUUGUUACCUGUUCUGCGGCAACGGGGAUGUGACUCCAAAGCAGGAGGACAGUAGCGGAUCUGCACUGCAGAAAGUGGAACAGAUCCGGCGCUCUCGGCUGCUAUAUUUUAACAGCGUAUCUGAGCCGAAGAUUUUCGUAGCAUGUCCAGUUCCGGAUCCCCAUGGAUGUACUGGUGUACGUACAUGGAGGGCUCUGUCGCACCAGUCAGCACAAGGGAAAGCAUUGGAGGCGUGGUGUGUGCCACAGUGCCAGUGUGUGCAACUUUGUCAACUAGAAGGGGAUGAUCUUACUGAUGCAGAAAGAAAUGGAACAAAAGCAAGAGCUGCUUUGGAUCUAUAG
rnacentral:rRNA from 1 species